CAGUACAUCUGUACCACAUUCAUGUGGCAAAUGCUGCUUUAUGGAGAUGUUUCUAAUACUGACCUACAAUAAUUCAGCCAAGAUCACGUUUCUACUGUCUUCAGGAAAUGAGAAAAAUGAAUCCAGGAAAUUUCCAUCUUUAACUAUACUCUGUAAAUGUGCUGUCCAAUACACAGAUAGCUACUGAGCACUGGAAUAUAGCUAGUCUGAAUGGAGAUGUUCUAAGGACGUGUUUGCUUCCCCUUCUGCCGUGACUGUAAGUUUCCUGAGGCCUCCCCAGCCCUGCAGAACUAGCCUUGGAAAGAAGAACCACGCAGAGAGACAACAUAUGUAACCUCAUGCUUUUUAUGUACAAGUGGUGGAAUUUUUCCAUUCUCCAUUUUCUUUCUUCUCUAUCUUCCUGUAUCUUUGUCACCAUGUUAAGGUAACAUCCAGCCACAUGCCCCAAAUCUUCAAUACGUUAUGCCAAUUCAGGGUGACUUAAAGAUGCUUUGUAAAUGCUCUUUUGCAAAAAAGUAUGAUUAAAGGAUUUCAGCGUAUUCUCUCACUGGGACAUCUUAUGUUAUUCUGAAAUGAAGAGUUUACUAAAAUUAUAUUUGAUCAUGAUGAAUCUUUUUAAAACCACUUAAGGAAACAGGAAGAAUUUCUUAUAUUCUGGAAAUUUUGUCUGUGAUAAUAAUUGUCAUGGAUUGUUGUCCUUAGAAUCAAGGGGGUUCAUCACAAAACAACUUUUUAUGGUAAUGAGGAAGCAGAUCAUUCAAGUUUGUUUUUCCUCCUCAAGAAUUCUUUGUAAAUGUGUUUGGAAAAGUUUGGUAGCCUUAUUUUCUAUAUUAAUUUUUGAAUAUUUAAAAUAAAUUGUUUCUAGGUUUGAA
ensembl:lncRNA novel transcript